GGGGAUUUAGCUCAGUGGUGUAAGCGCCUGCCUUGCAAGCACGCAGUCGUGAUCCACGGUACCGGAAAAAAAAAAGAAUGUUGUACAAAUAUAUCAUAAUCUCUG
rnacentral:tRNA from 1 species